rnacentral:rRNA from 1 species
AACGAACGCUGGCGGCAUGCCUAACACAUGCAAGUCGAACGAGACCUUCGGGUCUAGUGGCGCACGGGUGCGUAACGCGUGGGAACCUGCCCUUAGGUUCGGAAUAACUCCCCGAAAGGGGUGCUAAUACCGGAUAAUCUCUUCGGACCAAAGAUUUAUCGCCUUUGGAUGGGCCCGCGUUGGAUUAGCUAGUUGGUAGGGUAAAAGCCUACCAAGGCGACGAUCCAUAGCUGGUCUGAGAGGAUGAUCAGCCACACUGGGACUGCGACACGGCCCAGACUCCUACGGGAGGCAGCAGUGGGGAAUAUUGGACAAUGGGCGAAAGCCUGAUCCAGCCAUGCCGCGUGAGUGAUGAAGGCGUUAGGGUUGUAAAGCUCUUUUACCCGGGAUGAUAAUGACAGUACCGGGAGAAUAAGCUCCGGCUAACUCCGUG